CUUUUGGAUGGCUGCAGCUUGUGGAAGACGGGACGUGCGGAAACGGAGCUCAGGAGCAACAAACACGUGGCUAGAAUGUCCCAUAACUUCAUUUUAGACUCAGUUCCUUUGAGGGAAGCUGCAACGGUGCAAAGGACAGCAAGCAGAUGCCGUGAAGCCUCGGCCCGUGAAGUACAGCGAGUAUGCGGUGUUCUUCAGCUGUGACAUUGUGAUCCCGUCGUUCCGUAGUGAAGUCCGAUCUCCUGCUCCUGCAUUUGGAUAUGAUACUGACCACCUGUGUUACCUGUGCAGGUGGAAAUUAUGUCAUCAUCCAUGUUACUAUCAUCACACAGGGGUGUGUUGAUCUGUUGGCGAGUGAAUGGCCGCGCUGUCAUGGAUCAGCCUGUGUCAGAUACUCUGGAAGUCCAAAAGCCAAGCCAAUGAAAGGCCUGUCAGCUGAUGAUGAAAGAGAGUCUCUCCUGGAAUGGAGUGAUUCAGGUGUCUGAUGUUGAUGAAGUCUGGGCACUAGUAUCUGUUGGGUUGCUGACUAUCAUGGAUGAAGAUGUACUGUACUUCUUCAAAUCUUCUUGACCCUCUGUCUUCUGCCAUCAUUGUUUAGGCCAGUAUUGCAAAGAACAGUCUCCAGAAUCUACUUCAACCAUUUGCUUCUGGACUGUCCUUCAGUACAUUUGGAUUACCUUAUUUCUGUAAAAAACACUUUCAGGUUUAUUCAAAGUGUGAUGUGUGCGGCUGUCACAGUGCCAUGCUUAAAGGGUUAGUUCACCCAAA